AAAUCCCUCCCGCCCCCGCCUGACCAGCGGGACCCGGCUCUGGCCGCCGCCGCUUCCCGCGAGAGCCCCGGGCGGGGCGGGGCCCAGGGACCCAGCGAGGGCGGGCGGCGGAGGCGGGGCUAGGGCGCGCAUGCAGGGCCUGGUCGGUGUCAUGGCCGCGUCCCGGCUGCCUCCGGCUGCGCUGACGCUGAAGCAGUUCUUGAGAAGGCAGCAGGUUCUUCAGUUAUACAGAAGAAUUCUGCAGGCUAUUCGUCAGGUACCUACUGAAACUGAUCGGCACUAUCUAAAGGAGUGGGCAAGGGAAGAAUUCAAAAGAAAUAAAGAUGCAACAGAUGAGGAUGCAAUUAGGAUGAUGAUUACUCAGGGCAACAUGCAGCUUCGGGAGCUUGAAAGAACACUUCAGCUGGCAAACUCCUAAUCUUAAUUCUGAGAGCCAAUGGACUUUCAUCCACUGUGGGAAGUACAGUACUUUCUCCAGGAUGCAGCAUCUCAUCUUAUGCUAAGAUACCGACUGAGAGAUUCCUGGGGCAGCAGGAACCAUCCCUUAUUGAACGUAUGGAAAUCGCCCAGCUCUUCCUGGGCACUACCACAAGAAUAAUGAAAUAAAUAAAACAACAACAACUCUGCCUCAGGUUUCUUUCUUGAAUCCGACAUCUAACAUUAGAAUAGUCCUCACUGUGCUCGUCUCUGGAAUUUUCCAAUCCUUCCUCCAAAGUUUCUACUUCUCGAGGCCUCCAGCCAUCACAGCAACAGAGUAUCUGAUGUCUGCAAUAGAUGCUCUUCAGUUUCUGUUAAAUUCCAUUCCUACCUUCUGAUAUAUAUGAUUCCCCAAGCACAGCAAGGGAGAAUAAAGGUUUAUGUUCAGAUUCAGAGGUGGGAAGCACUGCUUUCCUGAACGUGUCUUGGUACAGUAUGCAUAAAAGCAGCAGUAGUUAGCUGGAAUAGACCCAUCAGAUCAAAGUCGCUUACAUCUCAAUAGGGGAAUCACUUGAUAAUUUAUUGUAUGCUUUUGUGCUGUUCUAAAAAUGGCUUUAGGUGAAUAUUUGCACAUUCACAUUUAGGGGAACUAUACUAAGUCCAACAAAUGGGUGGACUAUCCAUUGCACAUUCACGAGGUUAGCAAAUUACAGUGUCUGAAGUGCAGUGAGUUUAUGUGAUUUGGUGUUCCCUGUUCACUAACCAAUCUGCUCUAUUUCAUAUGGGUUGGGGCAUAACCACCCCCUUCAUUUACGAUAGUUGUUAAGAAGCUAUUAAAGCAUCUUUAUGGAACCAAGUAGCUGAAAUAAUAGGAGCUUCUACUCAACACAAAAGGACAUAGGAGGCUGUUCAGGAAUUAGAACUAGAUGGGUGCAGGGGCUUUCCUGCAUAUUGUUUUAGUAGAGGGAUAUGCCUGAGAAAAAGUCGGAGAAACACCACAGAAGGAGACACAGAAGUAAGCAGCAAGCCUGUAAUUCUUCCUGUGUUCACAGAGAAAGGUCUUUGUUCAUUAUUUGUAAGUAAGCAGAACUGUAUCAAAGAAAUGACUCAUCAAUUUCUCCUUCAGGAAACAGCCUGCAAGACCCUGAAUUUUGGCUAACCUUACAUAUGUUAAACCCCUGCCUCUAGUAAUUCUUGAAAUCCAAUAGACCCAAUUUAGUAAAGAGAAGAAACUGAAACAUAAAGGUAUUGCACAUAUUCAGGCUUUCUGUUUGGACUGUAAACUCUUCAGGGCAGAGAUUGUGCAUUUCUUUUCAUUUAUAAAGCUUCUAGCUUUUCCUACUGGAAAUAGGUAAUAAUAUUCCAAAGUGAAAACUAGCAAGGUUCUUGUGUCAUUUUCAAUCAUUGUUUGCACCUUGUCUACAAAUAGGAAAUGCUUCAUUUAUCAAAACAUACACCACUUGGUAUGCAUAAAACCAACUUAUUGUGUGCCAGACUUCAUUCUAAAAUAUUGGUAAAUCUCAUACAACAAACUGAAGAAUUAAUAACAUAAUACCCUUGAAAACAUAGUCAAAGGCCAUCUCUGUUUCAUUUCUUAACUGUGCUCAAAUCCCACUAGGCACUUGUACUUCCCUGAUUUUUGAUGGUGAUAGCUUGUUUACCUGCAUUACUUUACCGUCCUUUCCACGAUACAGCGUGUAAAGCUGGUAGGCUCUGAACUCAUGUGGGGGUGGUGGAGAUGAGCAACGAUGUUUACUUCUACGAUGCUUAGGUAAGCUCUGCUGGGGACCAGGGAGUGUCUGCUGGUCAGCUGG